UGGGGAAUCUUGCGCAAUGGGCGAAAGCCUGACGCAGCCAUGCCGCGUGAAUGAUGAAGGUCUUAGGAUUGUAAAAUUCUUUCACCGGGGACGAUAAUGACGGUACCCGGAGAAGAAGCCCCGGCUAACUUCGUGCCAGCAGCCGCGGUAAUACGAAGGGGGCUAGCGUUGCUCGGAAUUACUGGGCGUAAAGGGAGCGUAGGCGGACUGUUUAGUCAGAGGUGAAAGCCCAGGGCUCAACCUUGGAAUUGCCCUUGAUACUGGCAGUCUUGAGUACGGAAGAGGUAUGUGGAACUCCGAGUGUAGAGGUGAAAUUCGUAGAUAUUCGGAAGAACACCAGUGGCGAAGGCGACAUACUGGUCCGUUACUGACGCUGAGGCUCGAAAGCGUGGGGAGCAAACAGGAUUAGAUACCCUGGUAGUCCACGCCGUAAACGAUGAGUGUUAGUUGUCGGCAUGCAUGCAUGUCGGUGACGCAGCUAACGCAUUAAGCACUCCGCCUGGGGAGUACGGUCGCAAGAUUA
rnacentral:rRNA from 1 species